GCACCGGUAACUCAGUGGCUAGAGUGUGAGAUUGCAACGAAUUCGUCAAUGAUCUCGAAGUCCCGCGUUCGACUCGCGGUCGGUGCU